UGCUAACUUCCUUGGUUCACAGUUCCAGAAAUGGGACCAAUCAAUCAAAAGGAUGAAGAUAAGAGAGAAGUACUUUUUUCCUUUGACCUCACAAGGAAAUGUUGCUAGGCUCCUGCUCUUCUCAGUGGGGAGAAUCAUGUCUGUUCAGCAGUAGGAGCUGCUUGGAUGCUGGACGCUGCAGCUGAUAGGAAGCAGUCAGAAGAUUUGAAUGGAGAGAAGAGGUACCAAGGGAGGACUCCAUCAUGCUUGCUUGAAGCAGGACCACUCUAAGCUCUCAUGUACUUGGCUGGAAAGUUGACUGAGCAAGUUCUAGGAGGAUUGUCCUAGAGGAAUGAUACAGCGAGAUUUUAAUUAUGUCAUUUAAUUUUUCCAACUAACAAAAAUUUAUUUUCUCUCCUUCUAUCUGGAGGAGAAAAAAGAAAACUAAAACCAUUAUAACAAACACACACACAUAUAUGCAUACACAUACAUAGAGACAUGUAUGCAUAUAUAUGUAUGUGUAUGUAGUCAAGCAAAACAAAUUCUCACAUUGACCAUGUCACAAAAAUAUAUGUCUCAUUCUGCAC
rnacentral:lncRNA from 1 species